CUACACAUGACAUCUCGAGCGGUAGCACAUGCAGAGCUAUGCUACAUCGGGUGACGAGCGGCGGACGGGUGAGUAAUGUCUGGGAAACUGCCUGAUGGAGGGGGAUAACUACUGGAAACGGUAGCUAAUACCGCAUAACGUCGCAAGACCAAAGUGGGGGACCUUCGGGCCUCAUGCCAUCAGAUGUGCCCAGAUGGGAUUAGCUAGUAGGUGGGGUAACGGCUCACCUAGGCGACGAUCCCUAGCUGGUCUGAGAGGAUGACCAGCCACACUGGAACUGAGACACGGUCCAGACUCCUACGGGAGGCAGCAGUGGGGAAUAUUGCACAAUGGGCGCAAGCCUGAUGCAGCCAUGCCGCGUGUGUGAAGAAGGCCUUCGGGUUGUAAAGCACUUUCAGCGGGGAGGAAGGCGGUGAGGUUAAUAACCUCAUCGAUUGACGUUACCCGCAGAAGAAGCACCGGCUAACUCCGUGCCAGCAGCCGCGGUAAUACGGAGGGUGCAAGCGUUAAUCGGAAUUACUGGGCGUAAAGCGCACGCAGGCGGUCUGUCAAGUCGGAUGUGAAAUCCCCGGGCUCAACCUGGGAACUGCAUUCGAAACUGGCAGGCUAGAGUCUUGUAGAGGGGGGUAGAAUUCCAGGUGUAGCGGUGAAAUGCGUAGAGAUCUGGAGGAAUACCGGUGGCGAAGGCGGCCCCCUGGACAAAGACUGACGCUCAGGUGCGAAAGCGUGGGGAGCAAACAGGAUUAGAUACCCUGGUAGUCCACGCCGUAAACGAUGUCGAUUUGGAGGUUGUGCCCUUGAGGCGUGGCUUCCGGAGCUAACGCGUUAAAUCGACCGCCUGGGGAGUACGGCCGCAAGGUUAAAACUCAAAUGAAUUGACGGGGGCCCGCACAAGCGGUGGAGCAUGUGGUUUAAUUCGAUGCAACGCGAAGAACCUUACCUGGUCUUGACAUCCACAGAACUUUCCAGAAGAUGGAUUGGUGCCUUCGGGAACUGUGAGACAGGUGUUGCAUGGCUGUCGUCAGCUCGGGUGGGGAAAUGGUUGGGUUAAGUCCCGGAACGAGCGAACCCUUAUCCUUUGUUGCCAGGGGUUCGGCCGGGAACUCAAAGGAGAUUGCAGUGUAAAUUUGGGGGAGA
rnacentral:rRNA from 1 species